rnacentral:rRNA from 1 species
AUUGAACGCUGGCGGCAUGCCUUACACAUGCAAGUCGAGCGGAAACAGGUCUGCGGCUGCUGGAGAGUGGCGAGGGUGGGUGUAAUACAUCUAAGCGUGCGCGAGCGGGGGGUAUAACAGCGCGAGAGCUGUGCUCAUACCCCACACGCUCCACGUGUGAGAACGGGGGAGCGCAGCGGCGCGCGCGCGCGGAGCCGCCUGUGGGAGAUUAGGUAGUUGGUGGGAUAAAAGCUUACCAAGCCGACGAUCUGUAGCUGGUCUGAGAGGACGACCAGCCACACUGGGACUGAGACACGGCCCAGACUCCUACGGGAGGCAGCAGUGGGGAAUUUUGGACAAUGGGCGAAAGCCUGAUCCAGCCAUGCCGCGUGCAGGAUGAAGGCCUUCGGGUUGUAAACUGCUUUUGUACGGAACGAAAAGACGCUUUCUAAUACAGAGGGUCCAUGACGGUACCGUAAGAAUAAGCACCGGCUAACUACGUG